GCCAGUGAGGCAUAAUGGUUUGAGUGUUAGACUAAGAUUCUGGAGAUCAAGGUUCGAUUCCCAGCUUGGCU